rnacentral:lncRNA from 1 species
CCCGGCGGCUAUAGCUUCAACUUGCUCCUAGGCGAACGUGAACAGCACUGCCUGGCUGCCAGGGAGACCAGGCAAGGAUAGGCGACGCGUGGAUUGCAGAAGAAUCUGGGAUUACGGAAGCAUAUCAUCAUUUCCAGCUCAGAUUCUUCGUCUU